rnacentral:rRNA from 1 species
GGCGUGCCUAAUACAUGCAAGUCGAGCGGACAGAAGGGAGCUUGCCCCCCGGAUGUUAGCGGCGGACGGGUGAGUAACACGUGGGUAACCUGCCUGUAAGACUGGGAUAACUCCGGGAAACCGGAGCUAAUACCGGAUAGUUCCUUGAACCGCAUGGUUCAAGGAUGAAAGACGGUUUCGGCUGUCACUUACAGAUGGACCCGCGGCGCAUUAGCUAGUUGGUGGGGUAAUGGCUCACCAAGGCGACGAUGCGUAGCCGACCUGAGAGGGUGAUCGGCCACACUGGGACUGAGACACGGCCCAGACUCCUACGGGAGGCAGCAGUAGGGAAUCUUCCGCAAUGGACGAAAGUCUGACGGAGCAACGCCGCGUGAGUGAUGAAGGUUUUCGGAUCGUAAAGCUCUGUUGUUAGGGAAGAACAAGUGCGAGAGUAACUGCUCGCACCUUGACGGUACCUAACCAGAAAGCCACGGCUAACUACGUGCCAGCA